GUGGAUUUUAACAAAUUACUUUUAUUUUAAGCUCUAUGUUUGUAGUGUUUAUACUUACAGCUUCGUGGGCACAUUUACCAUUGAACUCGCUUUGUGUGUAUUAGAAACUAGCUUAUAGUUCGUUUAGAGACGUUAUCUAGCUUAACAUAUAACUCACUCGUGAUUCCAGAUCUGCCAUUUGACUUUACUUUCUUUGCAAUACAACACAUGUAUUUGCUGCAUCAGAUAGGCCAACUGUCAUUUAUAGUAGUAACAAGAAAUUACUCUACAGCAAUUUAAAUUUGAAAGAGGUCAGUCAUAUGUGCCUUUGCAACUCUGCUGCUUUUCCGGACAGGUAAAUUUGGCUCUCUCUCUUAAUUUUAAGUUUUUGUCCCCCCUCAUCAUCGUCAAUUGAAAUGUUGGAAAUUGAUUCUUUUGUAUUUUUGCUUAAACACACUUCUUGAAUGGGAAAGGGAGAAAUCUUUAAUUGUUAUUAUAGUCCAUGCUUCUAUAGGUAAUUCUAUGCCACUUCUUGGUAAUUUUAGCUCAUCAGUUUGUUUUGGUCAAAGUCAUCACUCCUACCGUUGAACUCUCUCUCUCCAUUGUUGUAGUUUUCUGUCAUUAAAAGACCUGCACAAGGCCAUCUUGGGGUCAGUUUCUCAGCAACAGCAACAAUUGAGAUGCAUGGAGGAACAUGUCUCUUCAUUUCUUAUUAGUAAAUAUGACUUAUGAACUGAAAGCUUGUCUCUUUCAUAUGUUAAACUUGUAAGUUAAUUUUGUUAAUCUUACAUCAUUUUCUCAUACUGAUGUGGAUCUUAUUUGGUUGAUUCAUAAACUAAAUUUAGGGAUGAUGUUUUAGGGGUCUAAAGCAUUUUCUGGGAUUGAAGUAUAUUGAGUUUGUUUGUUUUUUUCUUUGCUGUUAAACCGGGAGAGGCUGCUAGAGAAGAGAAGCAGGCAAUCGAAAAAAUUGCGGCAAUAUUAGCAUCUCUUACAGCUAAGAAAACAGCUAUGCACAAAUAUGGUCAAUUACUCUGGGCAGCAGUGGGAAAAGCCAGCGUUAUUAAAUAGUGUAAUUCUGCACAGGUUGAUCAGCGUACUAGUACAACUCCGAAGUUGAAGAUAAUAGCAGUGCCUAGAUUGUCAUCCAUCAAGGAGAUGAGAACACCUGCAGUUGGAGAUCUUAUGGCGAAUUUUACUAGACCAAAUUUGGGCUGUACUGAAAGCAAGAUCCAACAACAUCAACAAGGGCCGUGUCUCGGAGCAUCACCUAACAAUAGAACUCCUUUUGCAGAUGUCAAUUUCUCUUAAUGAGUUCCUUGAUAAAAAUAUUUAGACAAAUAGAAAACUUGAGCAGCUUCAUCUGUUGUAUGUUAUUGGAUGAGUCUUAAAUUCGAAAGUGUAUUAGUAUAAAGUUUGCCAAUUCGGAAAGCUGAGGUUGGCUUUAUGUUUAGUCCAAAAUGUAUCUUAUAAACUACUGCGCCUGAGGGCUGUCUCUUGUAAAUUUGUAAAUCUUAUAAAAAUUAUAAAUGAUUUUCAAUUAUUUUUGUGCAAAUUUAUUGUUGCCAAAA